rnacentral:rRNA from 1 species
CAGUAGCCGCGGGAAUACGUAGGGUGCAAGCGUUAAUCGGAAUUACUGGGCGUAAAGCGUGCGCAGGCGGUUAUAUAAGACAGAUGUGAAAUCCCCGGGCUCAACCUGGGAACUGCAUUUGUGACUGUAUAGCUAGAGUACGGCAGAGGGGGAUGGAAUUCCGCGUGUAGCAGUGAAAUGCGUAGAUAUGCGGAGGAACACCGAUGGCGAAGGCAAUCCCCUGGGCCUGUACUGACGCUCAUGCACGAAAGCGUGGGGAGCAAACAGGAUUAGAGACCCCCGUAGUCCUGUCUCUUAUACA